rnacentral:rRNA from 1 species
UCCCAGACUCCUACGGGAGGCAGCAGUGGGGAAUAUUGCACAAUGGGGGAAACCCUGAUGCAGCGACGCCGCGUGAGUGAAGAAGUAAUUCGUUACGUAAAGCUCUAUCAGCAGGGAAGAAAAUGACGGUACCUGAGUAAGAAGCCCCGGCUAACUACGUGCCAGCAGCCGCGGUAAUACGUAGGGGGCGAGCGUUAUCCGGAUCCACUGGGUGUAAAGGGAGCGUAGACGGCCAUGCAAGCCAGGGGUGAAAGCCCGGGGCCCAACCCCGGGACUGCCCUUGGAACUGCAUGGCUGGAGUGCGGGAGGGGCAGGCGGAAUUCCUGGUGUAGCGGUGAAAUGCGUAGAUAUCAGGAGGAACACCGGCGGCGAGGGCGGCCUGCUGGACCGCGACUGACGUUGAGGCUCGAAAGCGUGGGGAGCGAACAGGAUUAGAUACCCGCGUACC